GUGGGGAAUAUUGGACAAUGGGCGAAAGCCUGAUCCAGCCAUGCCGCGUGUGUGAAGAAGGUCUUCGGAUUGUAAAGCACUUUAAGUUGGGAGGAAGGGCAUUAACCUAAUACGUUAGUGUUUUGACGUUACCGACAGAAUAAGCACCGGCUAACUUCGUGCCAGCAGCCGCGGUAAUACGAAGGGUGCAAGCGUUAAUCGGAAUUACUGGGCGUAAAGCGCGCGUAGGUGGUUCAGUAAGUUGGAGGUGAAAUCCCCGGGCUCAACCUGGGAACUGCCUCCAAAACUGCAUGACUAGAGUACGGUAGAGGGUAGUGGAAUUUCCUGUGUAGCGGUGAAAUGCGUAGAUAUAGGAAGGAACACCAGUGGCGAAGGCGACUACCUGGACUGAUACUGACACUGAGGUGCGAAAGCGUGGGGAGCAAACAGGAUUAGAUACCCGUGUAGUCC
rnacentral:rRNA from 1 species